GCGGCGAUGGUGCAGUGGUAGCACACCCGACUACAUAAUACGGAUGGCUCUGGUUCGAAUCCAGGUCGUUGCC